UACGUAGGUGGCGAGCGUUGUCCGGAAUUACUGGGUGUAAAGCGCGUGUAGGCGGGAGGCCAAGUCUGUGGUGAAAUCGCUCGGCUUAACUGGGCGGGGUCCAUGGAAACUGGUCACCUGGAGGUCGGUAGAGGCAAGUGGAAUUCCCGGUGUAGUGGUGAAAUGCGUAGAUAUCAGGAGGAACACCUGUGGUGUAGACGGCUUUCUGGACCAUAGCUGACGCUGAGACACGAAAGCGUGGGUAGCAAACAGG
rnacentral:rRNA from 1 species